UAGGAAAACUAAAACAUACGAUACAGA
rnacentral:piRNA from 1 species